rnacentral:tRNA from 1 species
GGUGGCACAAUGGGUCAGUGCAUCUGGCUGUUAACUAGAGGGCUGGUGGUUCAAGCCCACCCAGGGACG